rnacentral:misc_RNA from 1 species
GAGGGGGGGGGGCCCAAAAAGGAGUGGGAAAAACAAAGGGGAAAGAGAAAUAGAUGGUAAAAGGACCAAAACAAAAAAAAAAAGAAGAGUAAAACAUCAAAAAGAACUCAAAACAACUACCAAUCAAAUUAUCUAACCAAGUGGUGCUCAGGUAACCGCUCAGGAUUGAAUUUCAUCAAGCAAUUAUGGUAUAAACUUUCAUGGGAGUUUUUUAUAUUACUCACCAUUGCAACCAAUUUGCAUGAAAUACUCAUGCACAUUCAAAAAAUAUCAAACCUUAAUAGCUUAUUUUAAAAAGGGGGAAGAUGUAUACCAUAGAAAAAAAAAAAUAAUAAGGUAAAAGAAGAUGAGGAAAACGUCAAAAAGGACUCAGAUUAAUUAUGCAUCGACAAGGCCAGUCAGCCAUUCUGACGAGCGAACCUUAUAAUCAUUCAUCUUCAUUGUCCUCUAUAAUUAGAAGAUACAGAUGAGCAUGUGUGCACAGUGCACAUUCUGCAUGCGCAUGGGCAUGCACAUACUCAAGUGAGAAAGACGGUGAGAGCAAUUUUCAAUCACUUGGGAUGAAUAUUAUCAUAAGGCAUAUGAGUAAAAUUCCCCAAUCUUCAACUACUAUGAAUAUUUACUUGUGUGACAAAAUGACAAUAAAUAUUUCUGAUAGAAAAACAAAGAGAAUCAUGAAGCAUAAUUUACAGACCAAAACUUUUUUUGAUUUGUAUAGAUAGGCCAAAGAAAAUGGAGGACCACCAAAAACAGAAAGAAGAGGGUAAAGUAUAGGAAGAGGACUAAAAGAACACAAAUGACAAGUUGAUCAAGUAACAAGUAAGAUAGAGAAGAUUGUCUAUAUUUUACCAAGAAUUUAAAGACUCCAACCCAUUUCAACAAUCAUUAGAGCAUCCAAUAUACAAUUGAAUGAAAGGAAUAGAUGAAAGGUUAAAUUUAAAAUAAAGGAAUACAUAAAGCUUCAAAAACUAGUUCACACUGAAAUGAAUAGUAAUCACAUACAACAAAAACUAUGUAUCGUUUCCAUGGUUCUGCGAUUCUCUAUUGAUUAAUUCUUAAUCGAAAAAAAAAAUGCAAGAAUUUCAAAUGAUAAAAAUUUCCGGCUCCAAAAAAUAAGUAAACAGAAUAUGGAAUUUUGAUAUAAGAAAAAUAUCAAAGGAGCCACUAACAAAAAUAUUUUAGUAAAACAUACAAUGUUGCUCAGGUAACCGCUCAGGAUCGACUUGAAUGUCGAAGUUUCAUCAAGCAUUCAAUGGAUGCUUUCUACUUAUUUAUGACAUCAUCAUAGCAACCAACUUUUCAAUUCCAUCCAACCACUAUUUCAUGGGAGAAAAGAAAAAUGACUUCAACUUGUAUGAACAAAUGAGAGUAUGAGGUAAAAAAAGGGGAAAUAUCAAAUAGUAUAUACCAAAGAGAAGUAGAAACAACUGAAAGAAGGAAAUGCCAAAUAAGUGAACUCACAUACUCCCAGUUAUCAGCCCAGAGCUCCAACCCGCUUUUCUUGCCAGCAAAGAAAAUAUAAGCAAACAGAAUGCAGAUUAUAGAAGGUCAAAAAUAUGUUAAAUGAAAAAACAGAGGCCUAAAGAAUUUAAUGCAUAGCUCAUAAUCACCAUAGAUAGCACUGAGAUUUUGUUGCAUAGUUCAUAAUCACCAUAUAGCUGUAAGAUUGUGUUGAUCUCCCAAUAACCAAAUACACAUAACAAGCACACCAUAAAAAUUUGCUCAUGGUUGAGGAAUUCAGUACUUUCAUUUUUGACAUCAAAAUGGAGUUUGUUAGAUUAGGACAGCGAUUCCAAGUACAACAGGACACAGUAAAAGAAUUGACGUAAAAUGAAAAGUCUAGCACUCCAAACAAACCUUAAUGUUCAGGUUAUCCAAAAACCCGUUCACUUGUUCAUCAACAGGAGAAUCAUCCAGGGGCGCUCCAGUUGCCCUGCUCUCAUUGUACACUCUCUUUUCAAUUGGAGGAUCAACUUCUACUACCACUGCACAAUCUCGUUCUUCGGUGGCAUACAGACUUGCUCCGGUCGAAGAUUCCUCAGGUGCUGUUGCUCUUGGUACAGAAAGAAAUCGGGAGUGGAGGCUGCAGAGGAGGCCGGAGCGAGGGAUUUGGGCUUGCUGGAGAGUGAAGGCGGUUUUGGAGCGGAGGAGAAUGGUCUUUGAGGUGAAAAUUUUGGGAAGAUUAGAGAGGGAUUGAGUAGUACACAGCUCCAUUUUGAGGAUGCUGAGUAAGUGAGUGAGAAGAGCGAGAUAGAGUAGCUUCAGGCAGUUGACGCUGGCGGACGUUGGGGAGCUUAAAUAAAAUGCAAGGCCGAUCAGAAUGGAUUAUGUUGCUAGGGUUUUCUCUGUC